UGAAUCCUUCUUUUUGCUUGCGUUGUUGAAAGAAGGCAAGUCUACGGAUAGGAAUGAGUGAGGCACAGCUCCCUGAGGAUGCCAUAUCUUGCCCGUUUCUUGUGUAUUAAGUGACAUCACAUGUUACCAAACUAAACUGGCUGCAUUUGCCUGCACACAACAUAAAACCAAACACCCAAGCAUUGGAUUUUUGUAGCAAGAAAGAUGUAUUGCCAAGCAGCCUUGCAAGGGGACGGAAGAUGGGCUCAACUCUGUCUCCCAAUACUUGCUUCGCAGCAGUAGAUUUAAGGGAGAGAUUUUGGAAGUGGAGUUUCGGGCUGGACAGUGAUUGGCUGAAACGAAGAAGCGUUUAGAAAAUCUCUUGGUCGUGAGCUGUUGCUUCUUCAUGCUGCUUCAAGGGUCACAUGCAGAUUCAGGAGUUGGUAUAAAACAAGCUGUGGGAAUUCAGGCUGUGACAUCAAAGGGCUGCUCCUUGGGCUAGUAGAGCAGAUCCUGGCAGAGUUCCAGCUGCAGGAGGAGGACCUGAAGAAGGUGAUGAGACGGAUGCAGAAGG
rnacentral:sRNA from 1 species